rnacentral:rRNA from 1 species
AGCAGCCGCGGUAAUUCCAGCUCCAAUAGCGUAUAUUAAAGUUGUUGCAGUUAAAAAGCUCGUAGUUGAAUUUCGGGAUCAAUAUGUUGGUCGUGCCUCGGUACGUACUGGCAUUAUUGGUUUCUACCUUCUGAAGAACCUCGAUGUCAUUAAUUUGGUGUCUUGGGGAAUCAGGACUGUUACUUUGAAAAAUUAGAGUGUUUAAAGCAGGCUCACGCUUGAAUACAUUAGCAUGGAAUAAUGAAAUAGGACGUUUGAUUCUAUUUUGUUGGUUUCUAGGAUUGACGUAAUGAUUAAUAGGGAUAGUUGGGGGCAUUAGUAUUCAAUUGUCAGAGGUGAAAUUCUUGGAUUUAUUGAAGACUGACUACUGCGAAAGCAUUUGCCAAGGAUGUUUUCAUUAAUCAAGAACGAAAGUUAGGGGAUCGAAGACGAUCAGAUACCGUCGUAGUCUUAACCAUAAACUAUGCCGACUAGGAAUCAGACGAUGUUAAUUUUUAAUGACUCG